CACUGCUCGUUUUAAUCGUAUUAAACAUCAGUUUUCAAUCAAUUAUCAAGCUUCCCAUAUCAAAAAAUUUAACAAAGGUGGGAUUAGUGUAAAAUAGAAGUACCUUCGCCAACAAUCACGAAUAAUGGAAGUUACUUGCGGAUCAAGACCUUCAGAUUGUUUUCUCCACAAUUGUAUUCAUGGAGCAGUCAGACUGUCCAUUGAAGCAAACUACUCAUUAGAGAAGACUGUGCUUUAAGUGAAUAGUAUAUAGGGCAACAGAGUUUAGUUUACUGCAAUUACUUCUCAUCUGAAGGUUCGUUGCGGAGGAUUUCAGGAGCCAUCCAUUGAGGCUGCAUGAAGAAAAAUAAAGGAGUUAAAAGAGGAGUUUAGUAAUGACAGAUUUUGCAGAUAUAAAGGUUGCAUUCUUCCACCUUGACAGACCAAAGUCGCCAACCUGACGGAGACAUCAGAUCACCUUGUAAGUUACUGCUAAAUCAUAAAUCUGCUUGAAUAAUUUGGAGGAGUUCUCAUGUUACCUUGACAGUCCAGUUUUUAUCAACAAGAAGAUUGGAAGAUUUUAAGUCUCUAUGCACUAUUGGUGGAUUUCUGUGAUGCAAAUAAUUCAUUCCUCUAGCCUGCAAUGAAGUAUAAAGUGUGACUUUGAGACUUCACAAACUCAGAUAUCACUAUCACACUUAGAAAACAAAACAAUAACACUUCAUCAGAACAAUAGUGAGGGAAAAACAGAUAACAUACAACAUCAAGUGCCAUCCUCAGACGCCGUCUAAUGUCCAAUGUCUGAUUGUUCUUGUGUAAUGUUUUGAAAAGACUCCCCCUAGCAUGAGAAUGGAAUCAAUGUAAGAUAAAUUUGCUCCUCAAAAUGCAUACAUAUAUGCCUACAAGAGCAAGCAGCAUUAAGCAUGCAAAGAAACAUGUACCGAGAAGCAGAUGCAACACAAUUGAACAACGCUUGCAACUGGGCUAUUCUAGGUGAAUUUUAAUACUACUAUUGAUCAUCAGAUGCUUACCCUAACAUUACCUGGCCAGGAAUUCAGUGACAAUGGCAAGUCUUUCCGGUGAAUAUACUGCUCCCAUGAAUAGCAACACGUUUGGAUGUCUAAGUCUCUUCAUUAUAUCAAUCUAUAAAAAUGAGAUCCUGCAGUCAGGUUAAACUUUAUUCAAGCUCGGAACAAGAACUUUAUUUCAAGUUAGCAAUUUACUGAUCCAUUCCAGAUUCCACGGUAGACAACAGCGUAUGAACCUGUAAGUUAAAAGAAAAGGAAGAGAAAAAUUAGAAAGAAUACCAUCUCCCCCCUUCCAAAAAAAUUCCAUUUAUCUUUUUGUUAGAUGGUAAUUGUAUUUCUAUCUCAAGAUAGUAUCAGACAAUAUUAUAUGGCACAAGCAAACUUCUGAAAACUUCUAACAAAAUAGGCAAAACUCACUUUUGCAUAUUAAGAAAAAAUGUUUCUGUGAAAAACCAAAUUUGUUGAGACCAUCAUCAUCUUAUGCAUUCUAGUCUAGAAGUUAUGUAUUCAGAAUCUGCUAGGGUGCCAUCUCAUCUAGAAAUGCUAAAAUUACUUCACAUGUACUCAUCUUAAACAUAUGGGCAUGUUUAAGCAUAAUGUGUGCAACAAAGUUACAGAAGGUUCAAAAAUAUUUAGUGCACAUUGUUAUAUUGUACGGAUGAGGAAGUUACA